AAAUGAAUAGACGGGGACCCGCACAAGCGGUGGAUGAUGUGGAUUAAUUCGAUGCAACGCGAAAAACCUUACCUACCCUUGACAUGCCACUAACGAAGCAGAGAUGCAUUAGGUGCCCGAAAGGGAAAGUGGACACAGGUGCUGCAUGGCUGUCGUCAGCUCGUGUCGUGAGAUGUUGGGUUAAGUCCCGCAACGAGCGCAACCCUUGCCGAUAGUUGCUACGAAAGAGCACUCUAUCGGGACUGCCGGUGACAAACCGGAGGAAGGUGGGGAUGACGUCAAGUCCUCAUGGCCCUUAUGGGUAGGGCUUCACACGUCAUACAAUGGUCGGUACAGAGGGCUGCCAACCCGCGAGGGGGAGCUAAUCCCACAAAACCGAUCGUAGUCCGGAUUGGAGUCUGCAACUCGACUCCAUGAAGUCGGAAUCGCUAGUAAUCGUGGAUCAGCAUGUCACGGUGAAUACGUUCCCGGGUCUUGUACACACCGCCCGU
rnacentral:rRNA from 1 species